UUGAUCCUGGCUCAGACGAACGCUGCGCGCGCUAACACAUGCAAGUCGAGCGAGUUGGAAUUUCGGUUUUAACUUAGCGGCGGACGGGUGAGUAACGCGUGAGUAACCUGCCCUUCAGCGGGGGAUAGCGUCUGGAAACGGACGGUAAUACCGCAUAACGUGCGGAGGAGACAUCUUCACUGCACCAAAGGAUUUAUCCACUGAAGGAUGGGCUCGCGUCCGAUUAGGUAGUUGGCGGGGUAACGGCCCACCAAGCCUGCGAUCGGUAGCCGGACUGAGAGGUUGAUCGGCCACAUUGGGACUGAGACACGGCCCAGACUCCUACGGGAGGCAGCAGUGGGGGAUAUUGCACAAUGGAGGAAACUCUGAUGCAGCGACGCCGCGUGAGGGAAGAAGGUCUUCGGAUUGUAAACCUCUGUCUUUAGGGACGAAGAAAGUGACGGUACCUAAAGAGGAAGCCACGGCUAACUACGUGCCAGCAGCCGCGGUAAUACGUAGGUGGCGAGCGUUGUCCGGAUUUACUGGGUGUAAAGGGUGCGUAGGCGGGUUAUCAAGUUGGGUGUGAAACCUCCGUGCUUAACACGGAGCCUGCAUUCAAAACUGGUAAUCUUGAGUGAGGUAGAGGUAGAUGGAAUUCCCGGUGUAGCGGUGAAAUGCGUAGAGAUCGGGAGGAACACCAGUGGCGAAGGCGGUCUACUGGGCCUUAACUGACGCUGAGGCACGAAAGCAUGGGUAGCAAACAGGAUUAGAUACCCUGGUAGUCCAUGCUGUAAUCGUUUAUUUCUAGGUGUGGGUGGACUGACCCCAUCCGUGCCGGAGUCAACACAAUAAGCAAUCCACCYUKGGGA
rnacentral:rRNA from 1 species